GGCAUAGUCCUCUCUUGGAAAAUAUUAAAACCCAUAAAAAAUUGUUUUUCUUGAGGUCUGGUACAUGGCACACAAUGCAUUGUAUAGAUGAUUAUUGACUCAACUAUUCACCCUCUCAUUGUAGACUUAUCGUUCCUUUCUUUAGAGUUAUUGUGAUCUUAUAUCCACAUAUGAAUCUUUAAGUCCAUGUUUGGAUAUCUAGGUUCAGUUUAUCCUUCCUUCCUUCAGAAAAUUACCUUAUGGUCAGCCACGGUGUUAAUUAUUUCUCGUCCAUACCCGCGUCCAUUGUCGGUAUAUUAUUACUAUAUAAAUAAUAUAUCCGCCCCGAUAUAAUUAUCUCGUUCAUCGUCUUUGGCCAUAGUGCGUACACCCAUAUACCCCGUCUCUACAUAGUCUUAUA